GUUAAGAAAAGAAGCUAAGUUUCACGGCCUGAUGUUCAACACCUGAACUACUGUGAUCUCUGAUCUGUCAAUAUUGUAGUUUUUGCUCUUUGGCUCUUUGCUAGCAAGGCCAGCUAAUUACAAAUGUUGUGAACUUGUUGAGUGAUUUUUUACAGUGAAAAAGCGUUUUAAGAGUAUUAUCACACGGAGAAGUGCUUAACAGUAAAAGAAGAAAGUGGCUGUCGGCGGCUUUAACGAAAAGACAAUAACAGGCAAUGAAAAAAAAGUUUGUCGAAUUGAAUCGGCGUAUGAAGCCUUUGAAUUACAUUUAUGGCAGUGAAUUAAACAUUCAACUUAUUAGUCAAGAAUCUGCCGUUACGGAUGCCCAAUUACAACCAAAUUUGGAAACUACGACAAAAUUUGUUGACGAACCAGUAAAAGGUUUGAUGACCAACUGCCAUUAUCGAGCAGCAUAACCAAUUUACUUGUCAAAUGUUUGAACUUACGAGAUACAUGGUUAACAAAACCACCAGUUCUAACUAUUAUCCCCCCCCCCCUCCUUGUCCAAAGAUCAACAGCGGCUGGAAAGCUCUGAUCCGGUCUCUAAACUUGCUAAAAUUGGGGACAAGACCAAAAAGGCUCUUACGGCAAUUAACAAACCUAAAACAGAAACAAAUUAAACAGCUUGCAGCACAAUUGUCUGUUGAACAGCAGCUCUACUCUAAAGAAAUUACUGAGGCUUGUGUUUGCUCCGAUCAAGCCAGAAGAGCUGAAGCAUUCCAAAGUUUGGCUUCAGAUCCUGGAUUGCAUUAAAUGCUACCUGGCCUGUGCACCUUUAUCGCUGAAGGCGUUCGAGUUAAUGAUGUUCAAAACAAGUUGGCACCUGUUGAAGCACUGCUUUCCAAUCAAACGCUUUACCUUUAAAAAGAACUUCACGAAUGAGUUCCUGCUGUCACGUCUUGCAUGGACAGCAAAAACUUUGUCUUCGGCAAGAAGUGGAUAAUCAUUGGGCUUUGAGAGAUUCUCUUCACGCCUGAUUUGCAAAAAUUACCCCACAACGACGAAUAAUUGCAAGACUCGUGUCGCGGUUGUUCUGUUGAGCGCUGGGCAACGACAAAAUGCCAUUGGCGUCAUUUUACCACGCCCUCGUUGGAUCAUCCAAAUUGGGAACGGAAUUGAUCAAAGCCUUCAUUAUUCCGAAAAUACGAACGAUAUAGGUGGACGCAUCGAACUUUACUUGGAUGGAACAGGGCAGGCCAAUGCCGAUCGGAUAGCAGCCUCCCACAUCAAGCAAUUGACGAUCUCAUGAAAGUGACGCGCCAAUCGCCUGAUAACAUUGACGAUUACCGUCAGGAGUUCGGGUAACUUGGGCCGGCUCUUCACGGCGCCGUAAAUAGAGCCCGAUCUCAGAACACAACUCCGGCGGCGUCGUCUACUGGCAUUUCAUCAGCUGCAUGUAAGGAUUUUGUGACUCAUUCCUAGGGUGGUGAUAUCAGGGUCAGGCCUAAUAAUGGAAAUAAGUUAAACAACUUGCUGGCCCUUAAAAUCGUCAUCGAAAAGCGAAUUGAAAGUUUUUUUUCAAGAUCACUGUUGUAAUUUUCUAAUCCAAAUGUGCUAGCCGACAACCUCCGAUCGCUGCGUCAUACAGUUUUCGUCGACGAUUUGGAUGUCACUUUGUCAGAAGAAGAGGAUGUGAAUCAGGUGGCCCAGGAAGUGUUCCAUUUGUUGACUAAACAAUAUUUUUACCGCUCCGACAACAGAAACACGAAGAUAACGUUUCGCUUUUAUUUUUAGGACUACUUGUCAAAAUUUUUGGCGAGGAUCUCUGCACUGACGUCUUAAAAACUACUAUUUCAUGCUUAACGGACCCUCUACUUAAUCGCGACCUUGUUUUAAUGUUACUCGAUUUCGUCUUUUUGCAAAUCCUCCCAAUAUGUGCUUUCCAACAUAUGUGUUGUUUGUCGAAGCUUGUGUACUGAAAUCUUGAAUUGAACUCAAUGUUUCGAAACGUUAGUUGACAUGCCGCUGCAAGAUUUCGGUUAGGGGAAAAACAUUCAUUCUAAACUGAAUGAAAGCAGACCUGAAAAAUUCAGAAGCACACGGUUCAACCUCGCCAGCAUGAUAUAUUACUUUUAAUUCGGAUAAACGCCUGUG